GACAGAGGGUGCAAACGUUGUUCGGAAUUACUGGGCGUAAAGCGCGUGUAGGCUGCUCUGCAAGUCGGAUGUGAAAGCUCUGGGCUCAACCUAGGAAGUGCACUCGAAACUGCAGAGCUUGAGUCUCGGAGAGGAUCGCGGAAUUCUCGGUGUAGAGGUGAAAUUCGUAGAUAUCGAGAGGAACACCGGUGGCGAAGGCGGCGAUCUGGACGAUGACUGACGCUGAGACGCGAAAGCGUGGGGAGCAAACGGG
rnacentral:rRNA from 1 species